CCACACUGAUUUGACAGAAAAUGGGUCAAGCAAAAGAUGACAAUUAAAAUGUUGGAAGACAUAGUGACUACAUUUUCGCUGAAAAAGGAAGACCUGAGACCUACCUAUGCCUUUCCAUCCACCUACCUGGUAAUGUCCAGUACAGCAUAGGAAAAAGACUGUGUUGAAACAGUCACUAUGCACUUUUACUUGAAGAUGCUUAAAUAUCAUCAAAGUUUAGGAGUGUGGAGGAUGGUCAAAGAGCGAAAAGACACACAUGAGCUGCAAACAGAGUGUAAGACUGGAGUUUGAAGAACCAAGAAUAAGCCUUGGUUGCCUUCUCCAAGGGGAAAGGGGGAAUCACCGUUUCUCACAUGAGCUAGAAUGACCUCCAGCAGUUUGGUGAAGACCCAUUGCACAAGAAACAACCAGAGAAGACCCAUUCUCGACCUGACAAACUGCCUCACAAUCAAAGGCCGCAGAACAAUCUAUCUGCCAUCACUACCACUGUGAAGAACACCUGUCAGGUAGGGGAGGUGCCAACAGCAACUGGGGAUGGGAAAGCAUGGUGUUAGGGAAGGGAUUGCUGGUUUUAUGUGGUGGGGGGCUAUUACUUUACCCAUGCAACAUUGCAUGCAUCAUCAGGUGAGGUAGAAAAUGUUCAAGGGACCCCUCAUUAAAAUGUUGGUAGCACAUCACCAGUAAAUCUUGCAACAUAUGCAUCCUAUAGGAACCCCAAGGACAAAUUUGACAUAAUCUGGGGCCAUCUGUAUGAGAAAACAGCAUGUAGGUUAUUAAGAAUUCACCAGCACCUCAUGCGUAUUCUCCACCAUUCUUAUUCUCAUUUCCCCCCUUUCUUUAUCUUUUCUUUGUCUUUCAAGGUGUCAGCAGUAUUGGGAGGUUUGUCAGGGCUAAAGUGGGAGGUAUGGUUAUAUUGAA